GAUGAACGCUGGCGGCGUGCUUAACACAUGCAAGUCGAACGGACAGAUUGAAACCUAGUGAUAUCUGUUAGUGGCGGACGGGUGAGUAACGCGUGGGUAACCUGCCUCACACUGGGGGAUAACAGUUAGAAAUGACUGCUAAUACCGCAUAAGCGCACAGCUUCGCAUGAAGCAGUGUGAAAACUCCGGUGGUGUGAGAUGGACCCGCGUCUGAUUAGCUAGUUGGUGGGGUAACGGCCUACCAAGGCAACGAUCAGUAGCCGGCCUGAGAGGGUGAACGGCCACAUUGGGACUGAGACACGGCCCAA
rnacentral:rRNA from 1 species